rnacentral:ncRNA from 1 species
UGUUUGGAGAGUUUGAUCCUGGCUCAGGACGAACGCUGGCGGCGUGCUUAACACAUGCAAGUCGAGCGGAAAGGCCCUUCGGGGUACUCGAGCGGCGAACGGGU